GCCUCAUUAGCUCAGUGGUUAGAGCACUGGUCUUGUCAACCAUGCAGGGGUCCGGAGUUAAAUUCUCUGACGCAUAUGUGGCU